AUUGAACGCUGGCGGCAGGCCUAACACAUGCAAGUCGAGCGGAGCUGCGGACGGGUGAGUAAUGCCUAGGAAUCUGCCUGGUAGUGGGGGAUCCCGUCCGGAAACGGACGCUAAUACCGCAUACUAUCAGAUCACCCUCGGUCGGAUUAGCUAGUUGGUGGGGUAAAGGCUUACCAAGGCGACGAUGCGUAGCUGGUCUGAGAGGAGGAUCAGUCACACUGGAACUGAGACACGGUCCAGACUCCUACGGGAGGCAGCAGUGGGGAAUAUUGGGCAAUGGGCGAAAGCCUGAUCCAGCCAUGCCGCGUGUGUGAAGAAGGUUUUCGGAUUGUAAAGCACUUUAAGUUGGGAGGCGUUACCAAAAGAAUAAGCACCGGCUAACUACGUGCCAGCAGCCGCGGUAAUUC
rnacentral:rRNA from 1 species